rnacentral:misc_RNA from 1 species
GAUGAAGAACGUAGCGAAAUGCGAUAAGUGAUGUGAAUUGCAGAAUUCAGUGAAUCAUCGAAUCUUUGAACGCACAUUGCGCCCGCCAGUAUUCUGGCGGGCAUGCCUGUUCGAGCGUCAUUUCAACCAUCAAGCCCCCGGCUUGUGUUGGGGACCUGCGGCUGCCGCAGGCCCUGAAAACCAGUGGCGGGCUCGCUGUCACACCGAGCGUAGUAGAUUUUCAUCUCGCUCAGGGCGUGCUGCGGGUUCCGGCCGUAAAAAGCCUUAUUUACCCAAGGUUGACCUCGGAUCAGGUAGGAAGACCCGCUGAACUUAAGCAUAUCAAUAAGCGGAGGA